GGGUCCUAUUGUCUUGCCUUGCAAUGCCAUUGGAUUGUAAAUGUGUAUAUAAGGUGUGGCCAUAAGGCCAUGAACUCACUCUACCUGCAAACUUUCCCGGAAGCACAUCUCCUUGUUUCAUUCAACUGGUUAUAUCAACAUUGAAAAUGCCACCAGCAAGGAGAGCAAAUGCUGAAAUUCUGCUACCAACUAGGCCCAACGUUGCAAUAUUACAACGUUUCCCUAAAAACUUACAAAAACAUU